rnacentral:rRNA from 1 species
GACGAACGCUGGCGGCGUGCUUAACACAUGCAAGUCGAACGAUGAAGCCUAGCUUGCUAGGUGGAUUAGUGGCGAACGGGUGAGUAAUACGUGAGUAACCUACCUUUAACUCUGGGAUAAGCCCGGGAAACUGGGUCUAAUACCGGAUACGACCAAUCUCCGCAUGGGGUGUUGGUGGAAAGCGUUAUGUAGUGGUUAUAGAUGGGCUCACGGCCUAUCAGCUUGUUGGUGAGGUAACGGCUCACCAAGGCGACGACGGGUAGCCGGCCUGAGAGGGUGACCGGCCACACUGGGACUGAGACACGGCCCAGACUCCUACGGGAGGCAGCAGUGGGGAAUAUUGCACAAUGGGCGUAAGCCUGAUGCAGCGACGCCGCGUGAGGGAUGACGGCCUUCGGGUUGUAAACCUCUGUUAGCAGGGAAGAAGAGAGAUUGACGGUACCUGCAGAGAAAGCGCCGGCUAACUACGUG